rnacentral:snRNA from 1 species
AUUCCUUGAUAAGAUUCGGAACACCCGAUAACAUUGGAAAAACAAAGAGAAUAUUAAUAUGGCCUCUGUAGAAGGAUGACAUGCAUAAAUCUCAAGAAAUAAUUCAAAUUUUU